CUUGUCAGUCCCUGAGGAGGUAUUACCUCCCGACGCGGGGCUGUGUCUGCCGGCAGCUCAGCGCCGGCCCUGCCCCUCUCCGCUGCUUACAAAGAUUACGCCGCCUCGGAAUAAGCUCCGUGGAGCGCUGCUGCCGUCGCAUCAGACAGCGGCUAAUCAGAAAAUUAACACGGAAAGAAACUUCGUGGCAGGAACUUAUCUCCGAUGCGGGCGCGGUGUCGCUCCGGCUGCCGCUGCUCCCGCACCCAGCCCUCAGGGCAAAACUUCCUUGGAUGCAGCGCUGAAACCGGCAUUUACAAUACCGCCAGCCGCUAAUCCUGACAUCAAACACGCCACGCGCGCUUUCAAGCCGCGCCGACGUCAGGCUGCGCGAGCGCUGGCAGGAGCUGCCAGCUCCGACGGCUCCAGAUAACUCGCGGAGGAAAGACAAGGAAAGCGGCUCUGCCAGCUGGAUGAGCGGGCACCGCGUCCUCCAGAGCCCUUGGGCCACCCACAAGGUGCCCCUCGGGUGCGGGAGCCACGGCCGGGCCCAUGGAGGAGGAAGGAGCCCAGCAAACACAGGCCCUGCCCGGCGCUGGCAGCACCGCGGGACUGAGGAACGAGCAGCAGGAGAAGGACUCGUGUCCCCGUGCGAACCUCAGACCUCCCCCUCGCCCUGCGCCGGGUGGGCACCGCUGCUGGUGUGGGGCCAGCUCCCACGGAGCAGCCCCAGGUCUGAUCCACGGCUCAUUAUUUGGGAUUUAACCAGCACUGAAUGUCUUUGGGAAGCUCUCCCUGCCGCGCAUGCCUCGACUGGGGAGAUCCCAGGGCUUGGGGACGCGCUGUGGAGGCUGUGCCUGGUGGGAGCUGCCCGCGAUCCCUCCCUCCCCUCUCCCAGACAGCGCUGCCC